UUAACGACUCUCGGCAACGGAUAUCUCGGCUCUUGCAUCGAUGAAGAACGUAGCGAAAUGCGAUACUUGGUGUGAAUUGCAGAAUCCCGUGAACCAUCGAGUCUUUGAACGCAAGUUGCGCCCGAGGCCACUAGGUCGAGGGCACGUCUGCCUGGGCGUCACAC
rnacentral:rRNA from 10 species